rnacentral:rRNA from 1 species
GACGAACGCUGGCGGCGCGCCUAACACAUGCAAGUCGAACGGAGCUUAGAGAGCUUGCUUUUUAAGCUUAGUGGCGAACGGGUGAGUAACGCGUGAGUAACCUGCCCUAGAGUGGGGGACAACAGUUGGAAACGACUGCUAAUACCGCAUAAGCCCACGGUACCGCAGGGCACUGAGGGAAAAGGAUUUAUUCGCUUUAGGAUGGACUCGCGUCCAAUUAGCUAGUUGGUGAGGUAACGGCCCACCAAGGCGACGAUUGGUAGCCGGACUGAGAGGUUGAACGGCCACAUUGGGACUGAGACACGGCCCAGACUCCUACGGGAGGCAGCAGUGGGGGAUAUUGCACAAUGGGGGAAACCCUGAUGCAGCGACGCCGCGUGGAGGAAGAAGGUUUUCGGAUUGUAAACUCCUGUCGUUAGGGACGAUAAUGACGGUACCUAACAAGAAAGCACCGGCUAACUACGUGCCAGCAGCCGCCGCCG